UUUUUAGCCAUGGGUCUAAGUUCAUGGACCCCAAGAUGGAAGAAAAUGUUCUUCUUUCACAGCCAAAGACCAAUCGCGAAGCAGUUUAUACUGUGGUAGAAAACCAAACGUCCAAAUACAGCUAUUUCCAUAUACGGCAAAAGGAACUCUCUUGCAUCACAAAUACCCCAUAGCGUCUGACCUGUAAGGGCAGGCCAGGUACAUGUCCACUCACUAUCACAGGGAGCAAGACCACCCAUCAGAGAAUCAGGCACCUCUGCCAUCCUGUCACAGAGAUCUUGAAAGCAGAAAUGGCGAGAUACAGGCAAUUUCGGAAGCAGCACAACAGGCAACACUCCCAGUGGAGUCAAAGACACAGAGUCAGAGGCAGGAAGCAAGGAAAGAGACAAGGGCUAAGAAGGAAAAAGGUGAAAGGAGGCAAGAAGAAUGCUUCCUGGAGGGUAGUGUUGUACUGAGAUUCUAACUGUCUUAUCUGCCAUGUAUUGCAGUGUAGAAACAAGCUUCCACAACUGCAUGACAAAAUACCUCUGUUUUCUGGGAUGAUCCUACAAUAAGAGAAGCCUAACAGAACUGACUUGAAAUAAACAGGACUGAAUGCA